rnacentral:rRNA from 1 species
UACGGGGGGGGCAAGCGUUGUUCGGAAUUACUGGGCGUAAAGGGCUCGUAGGCGGCCAACUAAGUCAGACGUGAAAUCCCUCGGCUUAACCGGGGAACUGCGUCUGAUACUGGAUGGCUUGAGAUUGGGAGAGGGAUGCGGAAUUCCAGGUGUAGCGGUGAAAUGCGUAGAUAUCUGGAGGAACACCGGUGGCGAAGGCGGCAUCCUGGACCAACACUGACGCUGAGGAGCGACAGCGUGGGGAGCAAACAGG